UUUCCGUAGGGUAACCUGCGGAGGGAUCAUUACAGAGUUAUACAACUCCCAUACCAUCUGUUAACCUACCCAGUUAUGCCUCGGCGUAAGCUCGGUUGGAGGCACCUGCAGCUACCCUGUAGUUGCGGACUGCCAACUCCAGCCGCGGCCCGCCGGCGGUACACUAAACUCUGUUUUAUUUUAUAUUCUGAGCGUCUUAUUUUAAUAAGUUAAAACUUUCAACAACGGAUCUCUUGGUUCUGGCAUCGAUGAAGAACGCAGCGAAAUGCGAUAAGUAAUGUGAAUUGCAGAAUUCAGUGAAUCAUCGAAUCUUUGAACGCACAUUGCGCCCAUCAGUAUUCUGGUGGGCAUGCCUGUUCGAGCGUCAUUUCAACCCUUAAGCCUAGCUUAGUGUUGGGAAUCUGCUGUACUGCAGUUCCUUAAAGACAGUGGCGGAGCGGCGGUAGUCCUCUGAGCGUAGUAAUUUAUUUCUCGCUUUUGUCAGGCUCUGUCCUCCCGCCAUAAAACCCCCAAUUUUUUAGUGGUUGACCUCGGAUCAGGUAGGAAUACCCGCUGAACUUAAGCAUAUCAAAGGCC
rnacentral:rRNA from 1 species